CUCUACAGAGAUCAUAUGUAUUACAUGAGAAAGAAGGGCACUAGGCCUGUGUAUGUUUCGGAGGCGAUAUGGAGUGCAUGGACGGCCACCUGAGCUACAGAAAGGUGGCAAGCUAAUGCCGAAAAGGCAAAAGCAAAUAGGAAUACAGAGCCAGGUGGCCCGAGCACCGGAACCGCUCGGCAUACGUCAAGAUCCAGAUCUAUUGUUAAGCAUACCAUUGAUCUGGAACGUGAGCUUGCCCGACAGCCUACAUGUAUGGAGAUUUUUCUGAAGACCCACAAGAAGAAGAAUGGGUCAUUUGUUGAUUCUCGAUCUCAAACUCUACAUCAAGAAAUGACAGAACGGGUGGCUCAGGCAUCUCAGCCAUCAGCAGAGGGUGGAGAGUCACAGUCUUUAUCCACCGACGAUCUAAAUGAGAUAUAUUAUGAUGUUGUCGGUGGAAGGACAAAAAACUCCACCCUCUACGGCCUU